UCCAAGAUCAGUAAAACAACAUAUAAUUUCUUAUAAUCACAUCCAAACAACAAAUAAAAACCAAAAAAAUUCCCAAAAAAUGAGACGGAACAUAAUAUUAAUGAAAAGAAAUAAGAUUCAUGGCAACCAUACUUGGAAAAGCUUCAAGACAACCUCUCUCCAACUUUUCUUUCUUUCUCCAACUCUACUCCCUAUCUUCCUUAUAGCUAGCUCACCCCCCUCUUGCUUCCCCAAAAAAAUCAGUAGACUCUCACUCCUCCCAGCUCAUCCAAGGACCCACUCUCUAGAUUUUUUCUUCCAAAAAAUCUUCACCCCACUCGAUUUUUCUUCUCCCAUAAGUCUUCACCAACUCCCCUACUCCUGGUUCAGGAAAUAUCACCAUCUUCAACCACCACCUUGACAAGGUGGUGAUGUCCCCUAGCCACACGUCCAUGCAGCUUGGCUCAUCCGAAAACCAUAGAAGUCGUCCCCUACUCUAAAACAUGCUGCCGGCAAAGUGCCCCAAAAAUGAUAAUAAAAAAAAAACUAGAGCAAAAAAAUGAGGGUCUACAAUAUCACAUCACAAC
rnacentral:lncRNA from 1 species